rnacentral:misc_RNA from 1 species
GAUGAAGAACGCAGCGAAAUGCGAUAAGUAAUGUGAAUUGCAGAAUUCAGUGAAUCAUCGAAUCUUUGAACGCACAUUGCGCCCGCUAGUACUCUAGCGGGCAUGCCUGUUCGAGCGUCAUUUCAACCCUCAAGCCCUGCUUGGUGUUGGGGCCCUACGGCUGCCGUAGGCCCUGAAAGGAAGUGGCGGGCUCGCUACAACUCCGAGCGUAGUAAUUCAUUAUCUCGCUUAGGGUGUUGUGCGGUGCUCCAGCCGUUAAAGACCAUCUUUAACUCAAGGUUGACCUCGGAUCAGGUAGGAAUACCCGCUGAACUUAAGCAUAUCAAUAAGCGGAGGA